rfam:Dipodomys ordii contig_10302, whole genome shotgun sequence.
GGGAAGUUGACUCAGUGGUAGAGUGCUUGCCUCGCAUGCAUGAGGCCCUGAGUUCGAUUUCUCAGCCCCA